CUCUUCUUUCUAAGUUAAACUAUUAGAGUUUGUUUACCUUUGUUUUUAUCUUGAUUUUUCUUUCAUGUUCCAACUUCCUGAAAUAGUUGGCAGAAAUUCAGGACUCUUGGCUGCUCUGGGAAUGUAGGUGGAGCUUAUCAACUGAGUCUGUGUUGUGGAAACAAAAAGAAAGCAGGCCAAUGAUGUUUCUGGACGCUCAGUGCCCCACGGAGAGGUCUUUGCUCUGGAGGAACUGAUGUCCAAAUACUCUGCCUUAGGUCUUUCCAUGUCUAGUCAAGGAAAGCAUCAAGACUGGUCCUAUGGAAAUUUCCUUGGAGAAUUGCCUUUGAGGGGUGGGAAGGAUUUACAUAAGUGGAGUAGAAGUGGAAAGACAGUUUGCCUUAGUCAUAAAAGUGUGUGUAUAAGCACAAAUACAGCAAUGUGA
rnacentral:lncRNA from 9 species